UCAGGCUACAGCAGUGGGAGGGGCGUGAGGUCAGCCUGGGGCAGUUGGUGGCCUUCCUGCGCAGGUCAGGGCAGAGCCGCCGGCCUGAGAAUGAGGGCGCUGCUGAGCCCAGGGGUUGACAGCGCUGGUUCCUGCUGUGGUCCCUGAGCUCCACCUGAAACCUGAGGGAAGCCGUCUGCCCGUAAAGCAUUUCCCCCCUGCUAGGUAUUGAUGGAGGCCAGCAGACUCUCCAAUAUGUGUGUUUCACGCUUGCAGCACAUCGCAUUGUAGAGCCAGCCGCAUUUCAGUGGACCACAUUCUGUCACGAGGAGAUACCCCUCGU